rnacentral:rRNA from 1 species
UACGGAGGUGGCAAGCGUUGUUCGGAAUUACUGGGCGUAAAGGGCGCGUAGGCGGCUUGGCAAGUCAGAUGUGAAAGCCCCGGGCUUAACUCGGGAACUGCAUCUGAAACUGCUUUGCUUGAGUUCUGGAGGGGGCAGUGGAAUUCCCAGUGUAGCGGUGAAAUGCGUAGAUAUUGGGAGGAACACCUGCGGCGAAGGCGGCUGCCUGGACAGUAACUGACGCUGAGGCGCGAAAGCUAGGGGAGCAAACGGG